UUCACUGAAAAGAAACGCAAUAAAAUUAAGAUGGGUAGAAAUUGCACGCAAGAACUGUGGAAAUAGAUGGGAAAUAUCACGCACUUGAUCUGAGAAAAUGUAUAAAUAUACAGGGUAAUAUGUACUUGCAGCUACCGUUCUAUUUACCCUACAAUUUUCUUCAUAAAUAAUUCCAACCAUAAAAAGAUGGUGAGGCAUCCAGCUGCAUCGAACAUUGUCAUAAGCAUGACAAGCUUGAGCGAGAGGCAGGUAGAGCAUUUCUCAUCCAUGAUCAAAUUAGUUGUAGUCACACUGGCUUUUUUAUUAACUACCGAAUCAUCAUCGUCGUCAUCAACACAAUCGUUCUCGAUUUUACCAACUCAGAUACGAGUUCCCGUUCAACACCUGGUUCAUCGUAAUGAUCGGGCGGCGUACGGUGAAGAAGUUGAAGAAGAAGAAGACUAUGGCUCCUGGGAUCCUGCACCUGAGCACAGUGCACGUAGCCACGCCCCUGUUCCCCAUGGUCGAGUGAAGUAUCAUCAGCCGUGAAUGAGUUAGUCUCCUAGCUAGCUAGCCUUUAUUUUUCUUUUUUUGGGUUGGGUGUUCUUUUUCAGUUACGAUUUUCAUUGUUGAUGACAAAAUGGCAGAGUGUUGUGUAUGGCUUACUUGUCUAUUUAUGUGACAUGGUAAAUAUCAAACAUAUACGACUGCAAUUGGGGAAAACAAUAGAUACAGAGAUAUUGAAGAGAUGGUAAAUAUUCAGCAUAAAUGGACUGCUGCAAUAUAGGGAUGUUUGUGUUUGAUAUUUUUAUGAGGUUAUUAGUUCGUGAAUAUUGAAGAGAUAUAGAGGUAGUUUUUGUGCGAAUUUAGAGCGUCUAAUUUUCUUGUAGUAGUGUUAUUAUCGUUGAGAUCUUUGUGGAAUUUUUGGUGUGCCCACGUUUUCAUUUAAGUAUCUAUUGCCUCUAAAUGUAUUUAUGACAAAAAAAAUCUCAGUUCAGAACUUUAGUAAGGUCAUGCUCUAGCGACCCGCCCAACUGCAUAAUAGUCUUUAGGGGGUUGUGGAAUUUGGGAUCGGCUCCAGCAACACUUGCCCCCUCCAACCACACCUCUUUCUUGUUUUUUAUGUUAUUUUCUCAAUUUUGUUCGAGUCGUUCUCUGUUUAUUACUGUCUGCUUUCACUUAUGUUUGUUUUUUCCGUUUUAGUGUUAGAGUUGGUUAGUUUCAUGUCGAGUCUAAUGUUAAGUUUUGUGAUUGUGAUUUUGAAAGGGUUGUAGGACAUUGCAGGAUACGAAAUAAAGUAACUAGUAAGGUUAAUUACUUAUUUCUCGCUACCCAUGUAUGGGUAGCACUUCCCAGAUUACCAGCUCAUACGUUAUACGAAAAUGAUUAUUUGGUUUUAAUUUCUAGUGAAAUUCAAUAGAAAUGUCAAGAGUCUUUCUUAAAAAUUGAACUGUAUUGAGAGAAAACACCUCAAAGAUAUAACAUAAGAUGCAUAUCUUGGAAAUGUUAUACUUCACACAAACCAAAUUGUAGGUUUCUUCAUGAUCUGCCGAUUUUCAGACAUUUUGAAUCCCAUACAUAUUUUUUGAUUACAUACAAAACCACAUUGCGGCGUAAGAAUAUAACUAGUAUCUCUGAAACAAAGGGUAACUCUUUAUUAGUUUAUAGGAUGAAAACAUCCCAACUCGAGGCCAAAAGGAUACAUAUAUACUCACUGUUUGUCAGUUUUAGAAUACAGAUAUACAAAGAACACCAAUCCAGCAAAAGCUACAUUUCAUCUAUAGUGUGACCAAAAUCCUGACACGAGAUUCCAAGUUCACAUGUCACCGUUCAUUAAAUAUCGGUUUAACAUGCCAUAUUAAAUCUUGAUUUCCCUGGUUAUGCAUAGCUGCUUUCUCUUGGUCUUUCAAGUCCAACUCACUGUUCUCAUACACACAAAAAGCACAGGAAAUUUAUAGAAGUGUCAGAUUAUGAGUAUACGGAGAGAAAGAGCUGAAAAAGUUUGAAGAUGUAAGUUGAAAAAGUUAGAAGACGUUGUUUACUACCUAUAGUCUUAUUAAGGAGCCAUAAGAGAAGGGCUAAUUCAACCCCAAAUAUGGUGUGAAGCCAUGUCCUAUCCAUCAUAAAUCCGAACACCGUCAUUCCUGCCUUGUUGUUCUCUAGGUACGUCACUGCAAGAAAAUAAACCAAACAACCCAUCAGCACCCAGGUUAAGUACCUUUCUAUAUCAAGGACCAUUCAUAACAAGGUUAGUUACCUAGUGCCUGUCUCUUUUGGAAAGACAUCGUAUGUGCAAAUAUGGGCACCAUAUUCGAGCUGUUGGAGUUUCCAUCAUCUUCUUCUUCAUCUUCUUCUUCCCCAUCCUCCUCUUCGUCCAGAACCCACUUUAUAUUGAUGGGGUGAACCUGAUUACAAUCAGCAAUGGGUUGGCUAGUUGGACUCUCACCAUCGCCCAUGUCAUGGUCAUAUGAUGAGUUGAUCGUGGCACAGACAUGCCACUUUGCGGCAAGACUUGUUAUGGCCUGUGCUUUAUGGGUGAUCUUUGUCGCACUUCUCAGGCAUAUGAAUAGUCCUAUCACCAGAUUUAUAGAGCAGAGCUGGUUGGCAAAUUUUUUUGUAUUAGUUAGAUGAUUACUAUCCAGACAUCAUAACUUAAACAUGAGUAUUCUUAUGCUUCUGUAGGAGAGCAAGAUGAAAAGAAAGAUAGAUAUGAUACCAGGAGCUCUCCAGCCUCGUAGAUGUUGUUAGUAGCAGUGGACCUAGUAGUGACGAGCAAGCACAUCAAUUGACUUGCGGUGACCAAGAGCAGAGACAAUAGGAUGAACCUUC
rnacentral:lncRNA from 1 species